rnacentral:rRNA from 1 species
UACGAAGGGGGCUAGCGUUGUUCGGAAUUACUGGGCGUAAAGCGCAUGUAGGCGGCUAUUCAAGUCGGGGGUGAAAUCCUGAGGCUCAACCUCAGAACUGCCUUCGAUACUGUGUGGCUAGAGUAUGGAAGAGGUAGGUGGAACUGCGAGUGUAGAGGUGAAAUUCGUAGAUAUUCGCAAGAACACCAGUGGCGAAGGCGGCCUACUGGUCCAUCACUGACGCUGAGAUGCGAAAGCGUGGGGAGCAAACAGG